rnacentral:rRNA from 1 species
UUAGUAACGCGUGGGAACAUACCCUUUUCUACGGAAUAGCCUCGGGAAACUGAGAGUAAUACCGUAUAAGCCCUUCGGGGGAAAGAUUUAUCGGGAAAGGAUUGGCCCGCGUUAGAUUAGAUAGUUGGUGGGGUAAUGGCCUACCAAGUCUACGAUCUAUAGCUGGUUUUAGAGGAUGAUCAGCAACACUGGGACUGAGACACGGCCCAGACUCCUACGGGAGGCAGCAGUGGGGAAUCUUAGACAAUGGGCGCAAGCCUGAUCUAGCCAUGCCGCGUGUGUGAUGAAGGUCUUAGGAUCGUAAAGCACUUUCGCCAGGGAUGAUAAUGACAGUACCUGGUAAAGAAACCCCGGCUAACUCCGUGCCAGCAGCCGCGGUAAUACGGAGGGGGUUAGCGUUGUUCGGAAUUACUGGGCGUAAAGCGUACGUAGGCGGAUCAGAAAGUUAGGGGUGAAAUCCCGAGGCUCAACCUCGGAACUGCCUCUAAAACUCCUGGUCUUGAGUUCGAGAGAGGUGAGUGGAAUUCCAAGUGUAGAGGUGAAAUUCGUAGAUAUUUGGAGGAACACCAGUGGCGAAGGCGGCUCACUGGCUCGAUACUGACGCUGAGGUACGAAAGUGUGGGGAGCAAACAGGAUUAGAUACCCUGGUAGUCCACACCGUAAACGAUGAAUGCCAGUCGUCGGGCAGUAUACUGUUCGGUGACACACCUAACGGAUUAAGCAUC